rnacentral:lncRNA from 1 species
CUCCUAGGACAGCACCUUCAGGAGUAAUAAUGCAGGCAGUAGCUGGCAAUUAAGGAGGCACUCCAUGUUGUUUGUUGGGACUAUGGCCCUCCUGAGUGGAGUGUUAACACUAAAGCUUCCAGAAACCCUUGGGAAACGGCUAGCAACUACUUGGGAGGAGGCUGCAAAACUGGAGUCAGAGAAUGAAAGCAAGUCAAGCAAAUUACUUCUCACAACUAAUAAUAGUGGGCUGGAAAAAACGGAAGCGAUUACCCCCAGGGAUUCUGGUCUUGGUGAAUAAAUGUGCCAUGCCUGCUGUCUAGCACCUGAAAUAUUAUUUACCCUAAUGCCUUUGUAUUAGAGGAAUCUUAUUCUCAUCUCCCAUAUGUUGUUUGUAUGUCUUUUUAAUAAAUUUUGUAAGAAAAUUUUAAAGCAAAUAUGUUAUAAAAGAAAUAAAAACUAAGAUGAAAAUUCUCAGUUUUAAAAA